rnacentral:tRNA from 1 species
CAAGGUAGAACUUGUUAGUAAAGUUUUUCAUUUACGCUGAAAAUUAUUCUGUGCGAUUCAGGAUAUCUUGA